GAUGAACGCUGGCGGCGUGCCUAAUACAUGCAAGUCGAGCGAACGGACGAGAAGCUUGCUUCUCUGAUGUUAGCGGCGGACGGGUGAGUAACACGUGGAUAACCUACCUAUAAGACUGGGAUCACUUCGGGAAACCGGAGCUAAUACCGGAUGAUAUUUUGAACCGCAUGGUUCAAUAGUGAAAGACGGUCUUGCUGUCACUUAUAGAUGGAUCCGCGCUGCAUUAGCUAGUUGGUAAGGUAACGGCUUACCAAGGCAACGAUGCAUAACCGACCUGAGAGGCUGAUCGGCCACACUGGAACUGAGACACGGUCCAGACUCCUACGGGAGGCAGCAGUAGGGAAUCUUCCGCAAUGGGCGAAAGCCUGACGGAGCAACGCCGCGUGAGUGAUGAAGGUCUUCGGAUCGUAAAACUCUGUUAUUAGGGAAGAACAUAUGCGUAAGUAACUGUGCACAUCUUGACGGUACCUAAUCAGAAAGCCACGGCUAACUACGUG
rnacentral:rRNA from 1 species